rnacentral:sRNA from 1 species
GUUCACCUAUGUUUCAAAUGACUCAAUAGAUGCUGUGAAACAAGCUAUGCAGAAGCAUCUUCUUCAAGGCUGGUUACGGUUCUCUGAAGGAAAUAUCUUAGAGUUGCUCCAUCGGUUGGAUGUAGAAAAUUCUUCUGAAGUGGCAGUCUCUGUUCUCAAUGCCUUGUUUUCAAUAACUCCUCUCAGUGAACUGGUGGGACUCUGUAAAAACAAUGAUGGCAGGAAAUUGAUUCCAGUGGAAACAUUAACUCCUGAAAUUGCUUUGUACUGGUGUGCCCUUUGUGAAUAUUUGAAAUCAAAAGGAGAUGAAGGUGAAGAAUUUUUAGAGCAGAUUUUGCCAGAGCCUGUAGUAUAUGCAGACUAUUUAUUGAGUUACAUCCAGAGCAUUCCAGUUGUUAAUGAAGAACACAGAGGUGAUUUUUCCUAUAUUGGAAAUUUGAUGACAAAAGAAUUCAUAGGUCAACAAUUGAUUCUAAUUAUUAAGUCUUUGGAUACCAGUGAAGAAGGAGGAAGGUAUGUCUAAAUGUUAACACUCAU